rnacentral:rRNA from 1 species
GCCAGUGUGAGUGGAGUCGACCUUGAAAUACCACCCUUUAAUGUUUGAUGUUCUAACCUAUACUUCUGAAUCGAGGUAAGGGACACUGUCUGGUGGGUAGUUUGACUGGGGCGGUCUCCUCCCAAAGAGUAACGGAGGAGCACGAAGGUUAGCUAAUCCUGGUCGGACAUCAGGAGGUUAGUGCAAUGGCAAAAGCUAGCUUGACUGCGAGAGUGACGGCUCGAGCAGGUACGAAAGUAGGUCAUAGUGAUCCGGUGGUUCUGAAUGGAAGGGCCAUCGCUCAACGGAUAAAAGGUACUCCGGGGAUAACAGGCUGAUACCGCCCAAGAGUUCAUAUCGACGGCGGUGUUUGGCACCUCGAUGUCGGCUCAUCACAUCCUGGGGCUGAAGUAGGUCCCAAGGGUACGGCUGUUCGCCGUUUAAAGUGGUACGCGAGCUGGGUUUAGAACGUCGUGAGACAGUUCGGUCCCUAUCUGCCAUGGGCGUAGGAAAAUUGAGAGGGUUUGCUUCUAGUACGAGAGGACCGAAGUGAACGCACCGCUGGUGUUCGGGUUGUGAUGCCAAUUGCAUUGCCCGGUAGCUACGUGCGGAAUAGAUAAGUGCUGAAAGCAUCUAAGCACGAAACUAGCCUCGAGAUGAGUUUUCCCUGAAGAGAUUCAGUAAGGUCCGUUUGAGACUAAGACGUAGAUAGGUCAGGUGUGUAAGUGUAGUGAUACAUUGAGCUAACUGAUACUAAUGAACCGAGAGUCUUAACCUUACAACUC